ACGUUAGCGGCGGACGGGUGAGUAACACGUGGGUAACCUACCUAUAAGACUGGGAUAACUUCGGGAAACCGGAGCUAAUACCGGAUAAUAUUUCGAACCGCAUGGUUCGAUAGUGAAAGGUGGUUUUGCUAUCACUUAUAGAUGGACCCGCGCCGUAUUAGCUAGUUGGUAAGGUAACGGCUUACCAAGGCGACGAUACGUAGCCGACCUGAGAGGGUGAUCGGCCACACUGGAACUGAGACACGGUCCAGACUCCUAUGGGAGGCAGCAGAG
rnacentral:rRNA from 1 species